rnacentral:rRNA from 1 species
GACGAACGCUGGCGGCGUGCCUAAUACAUGCAAGUAGAACGCUGAAGAGAGGAGCUUGCUCUUCUUGGAUGAGUUGCGAACGGGUGAGUAACGCGUAGGUAACCUGCCUGGUAGCGGGGGAUAACUAUUGGAAACGAUAGCUAAUACCGCAUAAAAUGGAUUAUCGCAUGAUAAUCGAUUGAAAGGUGCAAAUGCAUCACUACCAGAUGGACCUGCGUUGUAUUAGCUAGUUGGUGGGGUAACGGCUCACCAAGGCGACGAUACAUAGCCGACCUGAGAGGGUGAUCGGCCACACUGGGACUGAGACACGGCCCAGACUCCUACGGGAGGCAGCAGUAGGGAAUCUUCGGCAAUGGACGGAAGUCUGACCGAGCAACGCCGCGUGAGUGAAGAAGGUUUUCGGAUCGUAAAGCUCUGUUGUAAGAGAAGAACGAGUGUGAGAGNGGAAAGUUCACAC